CUCAACGACCGUACCGCAAACCGACACUGGUGCGCGAGAUGAGUAUUCUAAGGCGCUUGAGAGAACUCAGGAGAAGGAACUCGGCAAAUUGACACCGUAACUUCGGAAGAAGGUGUGCCCUAUUAGUGUGUAGUGAACAACGAAGCAUGAAUGGGUUGCAAAAAAUCGGUGGCUGCGACUGUUUAUUAAAAACACAGCACUCUGCAAACACGAAAGUGGACGUAUAGGGUGUGACGCCUGCCCGGUGCUGGAAGAUUAAAUGAUGGGGUGCAAGCUCUUGAUUGAAGUCCCAGUAAACGGCGGCCGUAACAAUAACGGUCCUAAGGUAGCGAAAUUCCUUGUCGGGUAAGUUCCGACCUGCACGAAUGGCGUAACGAUGGCCACACUGUCUCCUCCUGAGACUCAGCGAAGUUGAAAUGUUUGUGAUGAUGCAAUCUCCCCGCGGAAAGACGGAAAGACCCCAUGAACCUUUACUGUAGCUUUGUAUUGGACUUUGAACAGAUCUGUGUAGGAUAGGUGGGAGGCUUUGAAGCAGGGUCGCUAGAUCUUGUGGAGCCAACGUUGAAAUACCACCCUGGUGUGUUUGAGGUUCUAACCUAGGUCCAUUAUCUGGAUCGGGGACAGUGCAUGGUAGGCAGUUUGACUGGGGCGGUCUCCUCCCAAAGCGUAACGGAGGAGUUCGAAGGUACGCUAGUUACGGUCGGACAUCGUGACGAUAGUGCAAUGGCAUAAGCGUGCUUAACUGCGAGACUGACAAGUCGAGCAGAUGCGAAAGCAGGACAUAGUGAUCCGGUGGUUCUGUAUGGAAGGGCCAUCGCUCAACGGAUAAAAGGUACUCUGGGGAUAACAGGCUGAUACCGCCCAAGAGUUCAUAUCGACGGCGGUGUUUGGCACCUCGAUGUCGGCUCAUCUCAUCCUGGGGCUGUAGCCGGUCCCAAGGGUAUGGCUGUUCGCCAUUUAAAGAGGUACGUGAGCUGGGUUUAAAACGUCGUGAGACAGUUUGGUCCCUAUCUUCCGUGGGCGCUGCAGAUUUGAGGAAGCCUGCUCCUAGUACGAGAGGACCGGAGUGGACACACCUCUGGUGUAUCGGUUGUCACGCCAGUGGCAUUGCCGAGUAGCUAAGUGUGGAAGAGAUAACCGCUGAAAGCAUCUAAGCGGGAAACUCGUUUCAAGAUGAGAUCUGCCGGGGCCUUGAGCCCCCUAAAGAGUCGUUCAAGACCAGGACGUUGAUAGGUCAGGUGUGGAAU
rnacentral:rRNA from 1 species